UUCUAUAAGAUUUUAUUAACAAUUGAGAUUGACAUCAAUAAUGCACUAAUGCAACAGUGACAUUUGGCUUAUUUGGUGUAAAAGUCAUACAGGAAGCAUUGUCAAAUAUGAAAUGGUGUUUGGUUUUCUUUGGGCUGUAUUUGUAUAAAUGUGUUAUUGGUAUAUGUACCAAAAUUAUGGAAAACACCUAUACUUCUUAUAUGACUUAGUGUAUCUUAUUAAUAAUUAUAAUUGUCACAUAAAAUCAUUUGUGCCACAGAGAAAACCAAAUUUCUUUGUCAAUCAUGUUUCUGAAUGUGGCUAUCCUAAGACAUUUUGUCAUCCACAAACAAUUAUUGUCUUGUUUUGGUCCUCUUUAAAAGGUGGUUUAUAAUCAACUAUAGAACUCUACCAGGUGUUCUUAAAUGCAAGUUUCUGAUAACUUUGGAAAUUGUGACAGUAAAAUAGAGGAAGCAACUUUCAGAACUCUUAUGGAGGGUUGAAAUAUUCACUAAUAUCAAGCAGAGCAAGAGAAAACUGCAUGGACUAAACUAAUGGAAGUCUAAAGUAAUCUUUUAAACUUUUUGCUUAAAAUGCUGCUAAUCUUUUGUUUUGUUUAUCAGAAUCAAGGAAACUUUUCUUUUUAGUAAUUUAUACCUUUUAGCAAUUAAAGAAAGUAUAUGCCUAUGAACAAAAUUUGAAGCAUUUUAUUUCUCUCUACCUAAUUUCUCCAGACUUUGGAAACUAUUUGUGAGUAUUCUUAAUUUAUGGCGAUAUAGUUAUUUGCAUAAGUGCAAUAAAAAUCUUUUUUCUUUUGCAACAGGCGAUAUUGGUUAUUUUACCAAGGAUUUAACUAGAAAGCUGUGUUUUCCUUUAAUGAAUUAAACUUGACUUAUGGAGCCAAUAAAAGUCCCUUGGGAGAAAUGGCCUUAUACCUUGUCUACACGGGGUUUCUGACCUGUGGCUUUGGUACUUACACCAUUUAGUCUCCUGAUUCUCGGGCCUUAGUACUUGGACUGAAUUACACUACCAGCUUCCCUGGUUCUCUAGCCUGCAGAUGGUGGAUCUUGGAACUUCUCAGCCUCCAUAACCGCGUUCCACCUGCACCGUAUCAGUGGCUAGUUGAAUUGCCACCGAGGUCCACCUGGGUGGCUGACCCACGCUGGAGCCAUCUCUUUAAUGAAAUGGAACGUCAGAGAAAUACAAUGUUCACAGUCACACUCUGGUUGGUGAUGGACAUGAAUAUCUACACCAAGGACUAAAAUGAAGUCAUGCCUGGAAGCCACCCAGUGAAGGCCCUGGGAACCCAUGAACUGGCCGUGAAACCAGAGGAUGUCACUGACAGGGAGGACUGGCAGGGAGCUAAGUCACUCUUCAGCUCUUUGGCUGUGAGACUACAUUUGAUCAAAACCAGAAAUUAGGCCUCAGACUUGGUUAACUGUAGCUAGAAGAUCCAAAAUCUAUCAUGAGACAGAGAAUGUUAAUCCCUUGCAGCUUUUGGAAUUCUGUAUUCUAACUCUGUGGGGUGCAUUUUGUUUUAUAACCUCGAAGAAGAGAUGUUGCUGCAUUAAUUUUGCAAUAUGGAAGGAGCUAGCAUUUGUUCAACAUCAGUUACACACUGGUCAUUCUUCUAAACUUCUCUUUGUUUUAUCCCACAAAAAUCACCUAAGAUGAAUGCAGUUGUUAUUCUCAUUUUACAUUUGAGGAUACUGAGGUUUUUAAAGUAACUUGCUCGGAGUAAAUGAUGGAUCUGGGAUGCAGACUCAUUGCUAUUAAAAAUGAAGGACUGAGUCUUAUUUUCUAUGUUAAUGUUUCUCAAAUAUGCAUGGUAAUCUUUCAGCAGAUUGUGAAAGCCCAUUACUUUAAAAAAUAAAAUAGAAAAGAAUAGAAAAUAUCAGUGAGCAUGACAUGUUGAAGGGUAAGUAAUGUUUCAUGAGUUGUUAGUUUCAGUUAUUUGUAUAUUGUGCGUACGGAUAUUUGCAUGUGUGCAUGCUCACUUGGUCAUUGUACGUGGUUAGAGAUAAAUUGACUGGGCUCAUCCAUGAAGUUUGAUAGC